UACGGGGGGGGCAAGCGUUUGUUCGGAAUUACUGGGCGUAAAGGGCGCGUAGGCGGCACCGCAAGUCGACUGUGAAAUCUCCGGGCUUAACUCGGAAAGGUCAGCCGAUACUGCGGGGGCUAGAGUGCAGAAGGGGCAACUGGAAUUCUCGGUGUAGCGGUGAAAUGCGUAGAUAUCGAGAGGAACACCUGCGGCGAAGGCGGGUUGCUGGGCUGACACUGACGCUGAUGCGCGAAAGCUAGGGGAGCGAACGGG
rnacentral:rRNA from 1 species